rnacentral:RNase_P_RNA from 1 species
UUUUCAGUCGGUUCUAUCGCUGUCCCGACCCGAUUAUUCGGGAUCGGGAGAGAGGAAAGUCGGGACAACACCGAGCACCAUACUUCCUAACAGGAAGGUUCCGAUCAUAUCGGAAACAGCAAGUGCCACAGAAAAUAACCGCCCUGAGCUUGUCGAAGGGUAAGGGUGAAAACGUGAGGUAAGAGCUCACGGUUCGGUAAGGCAACUUAUCGUUCGGGUAAACCUUAUGGGUUGAAAAGCCAAAUAUACUCCGGUCACGACACUGUCGGGAUAGAAGUUGCUCACUAAAUUAUGCUUGCAUAAACCGGAGCGGGUAGGCUGAUAGACCCUGCCAGCGAUGACAGGGCUAGAUAAAUGAUAGAAGUCCCGCCACGGCGGGAUACAGGAUCCCGCUUAUACGACUGGAAAUUUU